GCCGUGAUCGUAUAGUGGUUAGUACUCUGCUAGGGUCUCAGCAGCCCCGGUGUCGAAUCCGUCACGGCA